CAAAAAGUAGUAUAUAAAUUACCGCUCGUUUACACCGAGCAAAAGGCUCUCAACCCUUUUUGA
rnacentral:tRNA from 1 species